GAAGAUGCUAUAGAUGUUGUGGUUAAAGACAUCUUAAAUAAUAUUAUCGAAGAAGUUGUAAUGAAAACAACCAUCAAUUGUGUAGUUCAAGAUUCAGUUGAAGAAGAUAUAACUAUAGAAAGUACAAAUGAUUUUGAAAGUUCCAAGGCGGAUUAAACACCAUCGAUGGACGAUGUCACACUUGUUGGCGUCCUGGGGAAAGGGAGUUUUGGAAAAGUAAUAUAUAUUAUUAUUAAUAAUUAUUGUAUAAACAAGUAAUUCGUGUUUCAUUUGCUUU